rnacentral:rRNA from 1 species
GAUGAACGCUGGCGGCGUGCCUAAUACAUGCAAGUCGAGCGAAGCGGGGACGGGUGGGUAACACGUGGAUAACCUCCUAUAAGACUGGGAUAACUUCGGGAAACCGGAGCUAAACCGGAUGCUUAUAGAUGAAUCCGCGCUGCAUUAGCUAGUUGGUAAGGUAACGGCUUACCAAGGCAACGAUGCAUAGCCGACCUGAGAGCGGGGUAGGCCACACUGGAACGGGGACGGGGUCAAGACGCCUACGGUAGGCAUCAGUAGGGAACGUUCCGCAAUGGGCGAAAGCCUGACGGAGCAACGCCGCGUGAGUGAUGAAGGUCUUGGGAUCGUAAAACUCUGUUACUAGGGAAGCGGUACCUAAUCAGAAAGCCACGGCUAACUACGUGCCAGCAGCCGCGGUAAUUC